AGAGUUUGAUCGUGACUCAGAACGAACGUUGGCGGCGUGGAUUAGGCAUGCAAGUCGGGGGAAUCGCGCAAGGGGGAACCGGCGUAAGGGGCCAAAAGGCAUGGGUACCUACCUUUGGGUUCGGGAUAGCCAUCAGAGAUGGUGGGUAAUACCGGAUGAUGUCGUGAGACCACAGAUUUUUCGCCAGGAGAGGGGCCAAUGUGAUAAUAGCUAGUUGGUGAGGUAAUGACUCACCAAGACUCAGAUGUCUAGCGGGUGUGAGAGCACGACCAGCGCCACUCGCACUGAGACACUGGCGAGACACCUACGGGUGACUGCCAACGAGGAUCUUCGGCAAUGAGCGCAAGCUUGACCGAGCGACGCCGCGUGAGCGAUGAAGGCCUUCGGGUUGUCCGGCUCUUUUGUGGGGGAGCCAAGCCCGCAAGGGUGUGAUCUAUCGCCAAAAUAAGCACGGACUAAGUUCGUGCCAGCAGCCGCGGUAAGACGAACCGUGCGAACGUUGUUCGGAAUCACUGGACUUCCGGGGCGCGUAGGCGGACUGUCAAGUCUGGGGUGCCAUGCCGCGACUCAACCGUGGAACUGCCUUAGAUACUGACGGCCUUGAGGAAGGUAGGGGCAUGCGGAACUGUAGGUGGAGCGGUGCCAUGCGUUGAUAACUACAGGAACUCCGGUGGCGCCAGCGGCGUGCUGGACCUUUUCUGACGCUGAGCGCGCCAGCUAGGGGAGCCAACGGGAUUAGAUACCACGGUAGUCCUAGCCAUCCGCGAUGGGUACUAGAUAGUAGCUUGAUAAGGGUUUUCUGUCGAAGCUCCGAAGCUAAGUACCACGCCUGGGGGAGUAUGGUCGCAAGACUGCCACUAGGAAUUGACGGGGACUCACACAAGCGUGGAGCAUGUGACUUAUUUCGAGACUACGCGAGAACCUUAUCGUGGACUUGACAUGUGC
rnacentral:rRNA from 1 species